rnacentral:rRNA from 1 species
GACGAACGCUGGCGGCGUGCUUAACACAUGCAAGUCGAACGAAGAGCGAUGGAAGCUUGCUUCUAUUAAUCUUAGUGGCGAACGGGUGAGUAACGCGUAAUCAACCUGCCCUUCAGAGGGGGACAACAGUUGGAAACGACUGCUAAUACCGCAUACGAUCCAAUCUCGGCAUCGAGACUGGAUGAAAGGUGGCCUCUAUUUAUAAACUAUCACUGAAGGAGGGGAUUGCGUCUGAUUAGCUAGUUGGAGGGGUAACGGCCCACCAAGGCGAUGAUCAGUAGCCGGUCUGAGAGGAUGAACGGCCACGUUGGGACUGAGACACGGCCCAGACUCCUACGGGAGGCAGCAGUGGGGAAUCUUCCGCAAUGGACGAAAGUCUGACGGAGCAACGCCGCGUGAGUGAUGACGGCCUUCGGGUUGUAAAGCUCUGUUAAUCGGGACGAAUGGUUCUUGUGCGAAUAGUGCGAGGAUUUGACGGUACCGGAAUAGAAAGCCACGGCUA